rnacentral:rRNA from 1 species
UGGGGAAUAUUGCACAAUGGAGGGAACUCUGAUGCAGCGACGCCGCGUGAGCGAUGAAGGCUUUCGAGUCGUAAAGCUCCGUCGAAUGGGAAGAUAAUGACGGUACCAUUUGAGAAAGCCCCGGCUAACUACGUGCCAGCAGCCGCGGUAAUACGUAGGGGGCAAGCGUUGUCCGGAUUUACUGGGUGUAAAGGGUGCUCAGGCGGAUUUGUAAGUCAGAGGUGAAAUCUCACAGCUUAACUGUGAAACUGCCUUUGAUACUGCAAGUCUAGAGUAUGGAAGAGAGUGAUGGAAUGUCUGGUGUAGCAGUGAAAUGCGUAGAUAUCAGAUAGAACACCAAUGGCGAAGGCAGUCACUUGGUCCAUUACUGACGCUAAAGCACGAAAGCGUGGGUAGCAAACA